rnacentral:rRNA from 1 species
GAUGAACGCUGGCGGCGUGCCUAAUACAUGCAAGUCGAGCGAACAGACGAGGAGCUUGCUUCUCUGACGUUAGCGGCGGACGGGUGAGUAACACGUGGAUAACCUACCUAUAAGACUGGGAUAACUUCGGGAAACCGGAGCUAAUACCGGAUAAUAUAUUGAACCGCAUGGUUCAACAGUGAAAGACGGUUUUGCUGUCACUUAUAGAUGGAUCCGCGCCGCAUUAGCUAGUUGGUAAGGUAACGGCUUACCAAGGCAACGAUGCGUAGCCGACCUGAGAGGGUGAUCGGCCACACUGGAACUGAGACACGGUCCAGACUCCUACGGGAGGCAGCAGUAGGGAAUCUUCCGCAAUGGGCGAAAGCCUGACGGAGCAACGCCGCGUGAGUGAUGAAGGUCUUCGGAUCGUAAAACUCUGUUAUUAGGGAAGAACAAAUGUGUAAGUAACUAUGCACGUCUUGACGGUACCUAAUCAGAAAGCCACGGCUAACUACGUG